AGACCCUACAUCUCUUGACCAGAUCCUUCUCUGCUGCCAAGGAGACUCGCAUUCCCUGGACUUGCUAAGUACCCAGAGAGCUGUCAAGAGCGGUGGGACCCUGGGAAUCCAGCUGAAAAGCAGAAGAAAACAGAUCGAGCCUCCUGUGAUUGACAAGUCCUCUCGCUGCAGAAUUGGGCCGAAAACGCCUGCUUCAGAACAUUGGAUUCCAAAUGGGAGGCUGGCAGAGCGGCAGAGUGCACGGAUGUCACCUUGCCUGCACCCCCCAGAUGG